ACGGAGGGUGCAAGCGUUAAUCGGAAUUACUGGGCGUAAAGCGCACGUAGGCUGUAGUGUCACUAAGGAGAGAAAGAAAACGGCUCAACCGUGGAACUGCCUUUGAUACUGCACAACUUGAAUCCGGGAGAGGGUGGCGGAAUUCCAGGUGUAGGAGUGAAAUGCGUAGAGAUCUGGAGGAACAGCAGUGGCGAAGGCGGCCUCCUGGACCGUUAUUGACGCUGAGGUGCGAAAGCGUGGGGAGCAAACAG
rnacentral:rRNA from 1 species